CGGGUGAGUAACGCGUAAAGAACUUGCCUCAUAGUCUGGGACAACAUUUGGAAACGGAUGCUAAUACCGGAUAUUAUGCUUUCUUCGCAUGGAGGAAGUAUGAAAGCUAUAUGCGCUAUGAGAGAGCUUUGCGUCCCAUUAGCUAGUUGGUGAGGUAACGGCCCACCAAGGCGAUGAUGGGUAGCCGGCCUGAGAGGGUGAACGGCCACAAGGGGACUGAGACACGGCCCUUACUCCUACGGGAGGCAGCAGUA
rnacentral:rRNA from 1 species